GACGAACGCUGGCGGCGUGCUUAACACAUGCAAGUCGAACGGUAAGGCCCCAGCUUGCUGGGGUACACGAGUGGCGCACGGGUGAGAAACACGUGGGUGACCUGCCCCGCACUUCGGGAUAAGCCUGGGAAACUGGGUCUAAUACCGGAUACGACCGCACCGAGAGGGUGUGGUGGAAAGUUUUUCGGUGUGGGAUGGGCCCGCGGCCUAUCAGCUUGUUGGUGGGGUAAUGGCCUACCAAGGCGGCGACGGGUAGCCGGCCUGAGAGGGUGGACGGGCACAAUGGGACUGAGAGACGGCCCAGACUCCUACGGGAGGCAGCAGGGGGGAAUAUUGCACAAUGGGCGGAAGCCUGAUGCAGCGACGCUGCGUGGGGGAUGACGGCCUUCGGGUUGUAAACUCCUUUCACCAUCGACGAAGGUUUUCUGACGGUAGAUGGAGAAGAAGCACCGGCUAACUACGUG
rnacentral:rRNA from 1 species